rnacentral:rRNA from 1 species
CACGCCGUAAACGAUGUCGACUUGGAGGUUGUUCCCUUGAGGAGUGGCUUCCGGAGCUAACGCGUUAAGUCGACCGCCUGGGGAGUACGGCCGCAAGGUUAAAACUCAAAUGAAUUGACGGGGGCCCGCACAAGCGGUGGAGCAUGUGGUUUAAUUCGAUGCAACGCGAAGAACCUUACCUACUCUUGACAUCCAGAGAACUUAGCAGAGAUGCUUUGGUGCCUUCGGGAACUCUGAGACAGGUGCUGCAUGGCUGUCGUCAGCUCGUGUUGUGAAAUGUUGGGUUAAGUCCCGCAACGAGCGCAACCCUUAUCCUUUGUUGCCAGCGCGUGAUGGCGGGAACUCAAAGGAGACUGCCGGUGAUAAACCGGAGGAAGGUGGGGAUGACGUCAAGUCAUCAUGGCCCUUACGAGUAGGGCUACACACGUGCUACAAUGGCGCAUACAAAGAGAAGCGACCUCGCGAGAGCAAGCGGACCUCACAAAGUGCGUCGUAGUCCGGAUCGGAGUCUGCAACUCGACUCCGUGAAGUCGGAAUCGCUAGUAAUCGUGGAUCAGAAUGCCACGGUGAAUACGUUCCCGGGCCUUGUACACACCGCCCGUCACACCAUGGGAGUGGGUUGCAAAAGAAGUAGGUAGCUUAACCUUCGGGAGGGCGC